AACCUGUUCAGCAGAAAGUCACAUUUUAUCUCGUAUGCAGUUUAAUAUAUAUUUGUACAAUAUUGAAGAUCAGUAACGUAGAACAGGUGAGGCGAAAUGGGGUUUAACGUCGUACUUAAGAAUAUUUCCCUCAUAGGACGACGUGCAUACUUGUGUAUCUGUGACUGCUUGUGCUAGACCAGACAUAAGCUGGUUUUAUAGUGCUAGCUCACUGAGAUUCCAUGCUGCAGUUAAGCAUGAACACCCCACUCAGACACAUUAUACUGACUCCGAGCCGACCAGUCCUUGUUGUACCCAUUAAUGUCGAGCGCCAGGCAGGGACCGACAAGUACCAUAUUUUAACGUCUUUUGGUAUGACGCGGUCGGGGAUCGAACCCGCGACCUUCCUCUCUCUGGGCUGACGUUCUAACCACUAACACGGAGGCGGUACGAUCUUCAGUAACACA